GUGAACGACCUGCUGCUUCCUUAUUAGUUUUGUUAAGUAGUGGUCGAGUGUUUCGGUGUAACAAAUGCGGGACACACCAACCUGUAUCUGAUCUGUCUGCGCGUGUCUGAAGUUCGCUUCACAUUUAAGGAGAGGCGAACCAAACUUUCACUGCUCAGGUGCUCAACGCCUUCGCUCAGCUGGCGAGAGCCGAGGAGGACGUUACUAAACUCACGUUGGCUCAUGAGUCGUCACUGGCUGAGUUGAACGAGGCCGUCACACACAGGGAGUGUCUGAGUGAGCAAGAGCAGAUCCUUCAGGGAAAGAUCUCCGUUCUGGAGGAUGAACUCCUGAAAGCUCAGUCUCCGGACAGAGGAGAGGUUUUGGGACCCAUCAUGGAGGUUUUGACUAAAAUCGAAAGCCUCCAAACUCGCAUUCUGGAACGGUCCGAGCAGAUUUCCCUAAAAGAUGAAGAAAUCAGAAAUCUGAGGAACGAGCCCGACUCUGUUGAGCGCGAGCUGAAGCUUGUGAAGGAACAAAAUAUUAAAAACAAUUGACAGGU